rnacentral:rRNA from 1 species
AUUGAACGCUGGCGGCAUGCCUUACACAUGCAAGUCGAACGGCAGCACGGGAGCAAUCCUGGUGGCGAGUGGCGAACGGGUGAGUAAAGUAUCGGAACGUGCCCAGUCGUGGGGGAUAACGUAGCGAAAGUUACGCUAAUACCGCAUACGAUCGAUGGAUGAAAGCGGGGGAUCGCAAGACCUCGCGCGAUUGGAGCGGCCGAUAUCAGAUUAGGUAGCUGGUGGGGUACAGGCUCACCAAGCCGACGAUCUGUAGCUGGUCUGAGAGGACGACCAGCCACACUGGGACUGAGACACGGCCCAGACUCCUACGGGAGGCAGCAGUGGGGAAUUUUGGACAAUGGGCGAAAGCCUGAUCCAGCCAUGCCGCGUGCAGGAUGAAGGCCUUCGGGUUGUAAACUGCUUUUGUACGGAACGAAAAGGUUUGGCCUAAUAAGCUGAGCUCAUGACGGUACCGUAAGAAUAAGCACCGGCUAACUACGUGCCAGCAGCCGCCGUAA